UACAGAGGUUACAAGCGUUGUCCGGAUUUAUUGGGCGUAAAGCGUUUCGUAGGCGGUCUUGUAAGUUAUUUUUCAAAGACCAGGGCUCAACCCUGGGAAGGGAGGUAAUACUGCGAGGCUUGAUUAUUGGUGGGGUUUCUAGAACUGAUGGUGUAGUAGUGAAAUACGUUGAUAUCAUCAGGAAUUCCAAGGGCGAAGGCAGGAAACUAACCAAUUAAUGACGCUGAGGAACGACAGCUAGGGGAGCGAAAGGG
rnacentral:rRNA from 1 species